UAUCUCUGUAGAGUCUGCAUAUCAAUAAGCGGAGGAAAAGAAACUAACUAGGAUUCCCUCAGUAACGGCGAGUGAAGCGGGAAGAGCUCAAAUUUGAAAUCUUCAAGGUUCUACCUUGACGAAUUGUAGUUUAAAGAAGUGUUUUCUGUUGGAGUUUUGGUAAAAGUUCUUUGGAAUAGGACAUCAUAGAGGGUGAGAAUCCCGUAUUUGACCAUUAUUUUCAACUUUGUGAUACACUUUCAAAGAGUCGGAUUGUUUGGGAAUGCAGUCCAAAAUGGGUGGUAAAUUUCAUCUAAAGCUAAAUAUUGGCGAGAGACCGAUAGCGAACAAGUACCGUGAGGGAAAGAUGAAAAGAACUUUGAAAAGAGAGUUAAACAGUACGUGAAAUUGUCAAAAGGGAAGCGUUUGACACCAGUGUUGUUUUCUCGAAAAUCAAUUAAAAAUGGCUUGAUUUUGUGUUGUAUUGACCUUAAAAGCUUUCUUCACUUUUUUCAUGUCUUUUUUAAUGCACUUUUCGUUUAACAAGUCAGCAUCAGUUUCUUUUGUUGUAAAAAGGUCAUUGGAAGGUGGCUUUCUUUUCGGAGAAAGUGUUUAUAGCCUUUGACUCCUGCAAUCGGAGAGACUGAGGUCUGCAGCGUAGAUCCUUUUGGAUUAGAUUCAUUUGUGCUAAGUUAUAGCUUUUUAUAGACAACAUGUUGACUAUAUUUAGUCUUGUAACUUACUCGCUUAUGUAAUUUUACCUACGCUUAGGAUGUUGAACGCGCACAGAGUCUC
rnacentral:rRNA from 1 species